GUGUGUGUGUGUGUGUGUGUGUGUGUGUGUGUGUGUGUGCGUGCGUGCUUGUUAUUCACACGUAUUUCAAGAUUUAAAGUAAUGGUAGUUAAUGGAUAUUUCAGACGAAAUUAUUGCAAGAGUUAAUAAUAAUUACAAAUGAAUUAUUUUAUCUUUCAGGAGAUCAUUUCCAUUAAUCUUGACUAACAGAAUGAUGCCAUUUUCAGGUCGUGUGGGAGGUGGCAGCUGUGUCCGAACACCGGCAACCUUCCAAUCACUCUGCGUGAUGAGCAUUCCUAAUUGGGUCCCAUUAAGAGUGAUCUAAUUGCCCACCAUUUCAGCAUCUUCCAGAUCGUCUCCUUACGUCUCUCACCGAGUGAAGAACAGAACUCCCACCGGAUAAGGACUGCGAGAACCAACCAAGAAAUGAAAAUCAUAUUUUUUUGCCCAUAGACGGCUCCCCGGUUAGCGAGGUAUAGAGUUCCUACGUGGCAACAACCGUAGGAACUUCAUACCGUGCUCUUUGGGAGAGUCUCAAAUCAUCAAGGGUAGAAAAUAUCAGAAAACUCACGAAAACUCACCAGAAGUUGCAAGAAAUCCGUUCUUCAGCGGGGGAACUUAAGCUGCGCUUCGUGGUUCUUAAGAACAAAGAAAUAAGUACUGUCCUAGUUGUCUUUACAAGGUUUAUGCUUGCUAUUCUAUGAUAUAGAAAGAAAGGGAGAAUUGAAAAAUGUGAAGAAUAACAGGGAAGUAGGGAGAUGGAAUGGAAGAACAGGAAAAAUGGGAGGGAAUGGGGAGGAGGGCCAAGGGAGGGAUAGAGGGAGGAAAGGGGGUGGGGAAGGGAGGGUGAAAGAGGGAGGGGGGAGGGCAAGAGACCCGCGAAACACCGGGUAGCCCCAAAUGACUGUAAUCAUAUACCUUCCAAGUGCUAAUUAACUUACCUACUGUAAUAGGGAUAGUCUUCCUUGUCAUGUAUUUGAAAUUUAACAUUUUUAAAAGACUGAACAGUCUGAACAAAAUAUAUAUAUUAUAAAUGUAUAGUUCGAAGGCGUUGUCACUUCUUAAAAUAAACCUGUUGUAUUUGCUG